rnacentral:lncRNA from 1 species
GCUGUGCCCAUGAUCCUGCCCCAAUCGUCGGGAUCCGAAGUGUCGAUCCGGAACAUGGCUUCGAACAUCUCUUCCUCCUGCGUGUCCGGCCAUGUCUCCCUCACUAUAGCACUCAUCACCUCGUCACUAGCCUCCCUCACCUUCGCCUAUAUGGAUAGGAAAAAAUUAUUAAUUAACAUUUUGACAUAUAUAUAAGUAAAUUUAAAAUUUAAAAACGUAAGAUGACUUACAAUAUCCUCCUGGGCGUCAGGAUAUGCCUUCUCGUACGUAUAGACGUACCGGUUGACUUCUGGAUGUUCCCUGGCCGCCUCGUCCAUGAAGACAGCGAACGGUCAAGAACCGCCAUGAUGGUUCCUUGUGUUGCGUUGCCGGUUCUGAGAGUUCGCUCGGGAAACGGCCUUCAAAGAAAAAAAUAAAUUACUAGUAAAAUAUUUAAAAACGGACGUAUUUAAUGACAAAUUAACUAAUUAAUUUUUUUAAAUACCUGUUUCUGAGGGUUGUUGAAUUCUGAUGUCAGAAGCCAACGCCACUCGUACUCCCUGUACUGGAACUCAGCAGGGGUACCAGAACGUGCGUUCCCGUGCGUAGUCCAGUGGGUCCGCAACUCGUUCUUCCACUCCUUGUACCUACAGAUACAACAAAAAUAUUAGAAAUAUUAUUAAUAUCACAUACUAAUUUUGUUUUUUAUUAACUUCCCAACGUACCUUCCCCCAUGCACAAUGUCGGCCCAGCUGUCCUUAAGGUGCUCGGGAACCUCAAACCACACCUGUAUUUAACCGUUUAUUAGUUUAGUUUUUCGAGAAAUCAACAAUGUAAUACAUAAUAUUAUUUUGUAAACUCACCGACAUCGCGUUGUGGACCAUGUCCUUAACCUCCUGCGGGACCUCGCCCCAGUCUGACCACAACAUAGGGACUCUAUCCCUAAUGAGCGCUCCCACGCGGCCGGAGUACGUCCUCGACUUCCCGCCCGAUACUAUGUGGCCAUCCCCGUCAGUAUUGAUGACGAUCCUCCCCACGGUACCCACGAUCUUCUCGAGAGCCUUCCCUGUGACGGGGCCUCUCUUCUUCUUUGUCGGCUUCGCUCCGACG